CGACUAAGGUUCGAUUCGAGCGACAGCGAGAAAGCGUUGCCGCAGGCAACGACCCGAAGGGCGAAGCGCGCAGCGCUGAGUCAUCCUUCCCCCACCACCA
rnacentral:sRNA from 1 species